rnacentral:rRNA from 1 species
UACGAAGGGGGCUAGCGUUGCUCGGAAUCACUGGGCGUAAAGGGUGCGUAGGCGGGUCUUUAAGUCAGGGGUGAAAUCCUGGAGCUCAACUCCAGAACUGCCUUUGAUACUGAAGAUCUUGAGUUCGGGAGAGGUGAGUGGAACUGCGAGUGUAGAGGUGAAAUUCGUAGAUAUUCGCAAGAACACCAGUGGCGAAGGCGGCUCACUGGACCGGUACUGACGCUGAUGCGCGAAAGCGUGGGGAGCAAACGGGG